UACGAAGGGUGCAAGCGUUGUUCGGAUUUAUUGGGCGUAAAGCGCGCGUAGGCGGACCUGCAAGUCAGAUGUGAAAUCUCGGGGCUCAACCCCGAAACUGCGUCUGAAACUACAGGUCUAGAAUCUUGGAGGGGGAAGGGGAAUUUCGCAUGUAGGGGUAAAAUCCGUAGAUAUGCGAAGGAACACCAGAGGCGAAGGCGCCUUCCUGGACAAGUAUUGACGCUGAGGCGCGAAAGCGUGGGGAGCAAACAGG
rnacentral:rRNA from 1 species